rnacentral:rRNA from 1 species
UACGUAGGGGGCUAGCGUUGUCCGGAAUCAUUGGGCGUAAAGAGCGUGUAGGCGGCCCGGUAAGUCCGCUGUGAAAGUCGGGGGCUCAACCCUCGAAUGCCGGUGGAUACUGUCGGGCUAGAGUCCGGAAGAGGCGAGUGGAAUUCCUGGUGUAGCGGUGAAAUGCGCAGAUAUCAGGAGGAACACCGAUGGCGAAGGCAGCUCGCUGGGACGGUACUGACGCUGAGGCGACGAAAGCAUGGGGAGCGAACAGG